AUUCAAGAAGCUAAGCCUGAUCUCCUGUAAAAACAUCAUUUCCCUGAUGGACACCAGCGGCAAUGGGAAGCUGGAGUUUGAUGAAUUCAAAGUGUUCUGGGACAAGCUGAAGCAGUGGAUUAACCUUUUCCUUCGGUUUGAUGCUGACAAGUCCGGCACCAUGUCUACCUAUGAACUGCGGACUGCACUGAAAGCUGCAGGCUUUCAGCUGAGCAGCCACCUCCUGCAGCUGAUUGUGCUCAGGUAUGCGGAUGAGGAGCUCCAGCUGGACUUCGAUGACUUCCUCAACUGCCUGGUCCGGCUGGAGAAUGCGAGCCUUCAUCCAUUUGACAAUGAACAUCUGAGGCUGCCUUGUAGAGAUGCAGCCUGCCCAGCUGAAUCUUGGCUUCUGGACCUUGACCUUCAGAACUUCUCUUGGUGUGGAACCAUUACGCCCAGGGUUCACUCCCCUCUCAUCGUCCGGCCUUCUCCCUUCAUCUUGAUCUGGGAAGAAUGAAAUGAACUCAGCUA
rnacentral:sRNA from 1 species